GGGGGUGUAGCUCAAUUGGUUAGAGCGCUGCCCUGUCACGGCAGAGGUUGGGGGUUCAAGUCCCCUUGGCUCCG
rnacentral:tRNA from 1 species